GUGAAUCAUCAAAUCUUUGAACGCAUAUUGCACUCUCUGGUAUUCCGGAGAGUAUGCCUGUUUGAGGGUAAUUAAAAAGAUUAUUUAACCAAUUUUUUUGGUAAAAGGACUUGAGUUCUCGGCGUAAAUCGCGGUAGCUUGAAAUAAAUGGUAAAGAUUCUUUUAAGCGGAGACGCGUAUUAAUAUUAUUUCGCGAAAUCUUCCUUAUAUGACUAUCAAGUUUUGAUGCAUACAUAUUUGGUUUGUUUGAGAUCAUUAAAAU
rnacentral:misc_RNA from 1 species